CUCUUCCUCUUGCCACAAUGACAGCUAGUUCCUUUACAAAGGGUGCCCAUUUCUCAACAUAUAGACCACGAUCAAAACCUCCAAGAGCAGUUACAGCAGAAGAAAUGUCUUCUUCACUCUUAGCAACUUCAUUUCCNNNNNNNNAUAAGCUAACCUCUUACUUUUAAUCAUAAGAGGAUAGCCAAACAAUUCACCUGCCCUUUUGGCACCUUCUAGAUCAUCUAUCUGCAUAAACUCAGGUAGUGGAAUUCCAUGCCGAGAAAAAUGAACCUUUUGGAGAUAUUUAUCUUGG
rnacentral:misc_RNA from 1 species